rnacentral:rRNA from 1 species
UACAGAGGUGGCGAGCGUUAUUCGGAAUUAUUGGGCGUAAAGGGCGCGUAGGCGGCUUGGCAAGUCCUGGGUGAAAUCCCUCGGCUCAACCGAGGAAUUGCCCCGGAAACUGCUUCGCUCGAGGCCGGGAGAGGGUAGCGGAAUUCCCAGUGUAGCGGUGAAAUGCGUAGAUACUGGGAGGAACACCAGUGGCGAAGGCGGCUACCUGGACCGGUUCUGACGCUGAGGCGCGAAAGCGUGGGGAGCAAACAGG